rnacentral:rRNA from 1 species
UACGUAGGGUGCGAGCGUUAAUCGGAAUUACUGGGCGUAAAGCGUGCGCAGGCGGUUCGUUGUGUCGGCGGUGAAAGCCCCGGGCUUAACCUGGGAAUGGCCGUCGAAACUGGCGAACUGGAGUGUGGCAGAGGGGGGUAGAAUUCCACGUGUAGCAGUGAAAUGCGUAGAGAUGUGGAGGAAUACCGAUGGCGAAGGCAGCCCCCUGGGCCAAUACUGACGCUCAUGCACGAAAGCGUGGGGAUCAAACAGG